UACGUAGGGUGCGAGCGUUGUCCGGAAUUACUGGGCGGAAAGAGCUCGUAGGUGGUUUGUCGCGUUGUUCGUGAAAACCGGGGGCUUAACCCUCGGCGUGCGGGCGAUACGGGCAGACUUGAGUACUGCAGGGGAGACUGGAAUUCCUGGUGUAGCGGUGGAAUGCGCAGAUAUCAGGAGGAACACCGGUGGCGAAGGCGGGUCUCUGGGCCGAUACUGACGCUGAGGAGCGAAAGCGUGGGGAGCGAACAGG
rnacentral:rRNA from 1 species